rnacentral:rRNA from 1 species
AACGAACGCUGGCGGCAUGCCUAACACAUGCAAGUCGAACGAGACCUUCGGGUCUAGUGGCGCACGGGUGCGUAACGCGUGGGAACCUGCCUUUAGGUUCGGAAUAACUCAGAGAAAUUUGAGCUAAUACCGGAUAAUGUCUUCGGACCAAAGAUUUAUCGCCUUUAGAUGGGCCCGCGUAAGAUUAGCUAGUUGGUGGGGUAAAGGCCUACCAAGGCGACGAUCUUUAGCUGGUCUGAGAGGAUGAUCAGCCACACUGGGACUGAGACACGGCCCAGACUCCUACGGGAGGCAGCAGUGGGGAAUAUUGGACAAUGGGCGAAAGCCUGAUCCAGCAAUGCCGCGUGAGUGAUGAAGGCCUUAGGGGUUGUAAAAGCUCUUUUACCCGAGAUGAUAAUGACAGUAUCGGGAGAAUAAGCUCCGGCUAACUCCGUGCCAGCAGCCGCGGUAAU